AUACGGAGGGUGCAAGCGUUACUCGGAAUCACUGGGCGUAAAGGAUGCGUAGGCGGAUAAUCUAGUCAAAAGUGAAAUCCCACGGCUUAACCGUGGAACUGCUUUCGAAACUGGUUAUCUAGAAUAUGGAAGAGGCAGAUGGAAUUAGUGGUGUAGGGGUAAAAUCCGUAGAGAUCACUAGGAAUACCGAUUGCGAAGGCGAUCUGCUGGGACAUUAUUGACGCUGAGGCAUGAAAGCGUGGGGAGCAAACAGGAUUAGAAACCCCAGUAGUCC
rnacentral:rRNA from 1 species